GCAGAGCCACUGUGCAGGACAGGUCAGAGAGCGAAGGCCAGGGUCACUGGACAGGGUCCAGGGAAGUCCCUGUAGAGAGGAAAUGAAACCACAGCUUGGUGAGCAGGCCUCUGGGGUCUCAUUGUGUAAGUGGACUCACAGGGCAGAGUUCGGGAGUGAGAGAAAAUGGGGAAGGGAUUUGCGCUCAGCGGGGUGACGGGGCCCAGCUCAGACGGAGAGGCCCAGCCGCUCAAUGAAGGGACCCGUGUGGGGGCAGUUGCUGGGGCGGGCCUGGGUCUGGUUCGCCAGGAUCUCGGCUCUGGAUCUGCAGGAUGGCUGUGGGAAAGCCCCUGUCUGGUCAGCAUUCGAUGAUAGCCUCUGCCUGGGGGAGCCGCAGAGGCUCUGCUGGAAUCAGAGGUGCUUCCUCCGGUUUAGGACAGUGGUGGGAGGCUGGCAGACAUCCGUGGUGCUUGAAAGUCCCUGUGAAUCUCUUAUCUUUACGCCCUGGUCUUGGAAUGGGGUGAGACCCAUUAUGUAAGUUUUGGGCAAAUCAAUCUGGUAUUGCCAGUUUCAAGACCUACUCCUUAGGGACUAACAUGCCACAGGCACAGCUCGCAGGGACCUAACCUGAAGUUUUAAGGUAAUAAAGGAGUUGAGGACAAAAAUGAAGGCCAAACUGCUCUGAUUGGGCAGGAUGGGAAAUCCUCUGCAGAGUCAUUGUUUAUGUAUGUUAUUUUUUAUUUUUCUCGCAAAAGCAGCUUUUAAGUCCUGGAGCUUCUCAGAAGAAAACAAAAAUCUUAUUUUUAAUGUGUAGCAGGUUAAGGACACAGGGGUGCAUCUGCCCUUGUCCAGGCCUGACAGUGCUCCCUCCUUCCAAUCUCCUGCUGGAGAUCCCCUUCGCUGAGUUAAUUUUGAAACCAGAGCGAGGGAGGCUGCUGAUCACUGGUGUGUGGUGUGUGUGGCCAACCCAGCCUCCGAGAAACCACACGCAAAAGGGAGAAGGCUGGGGUAUCUUGGGAAAGCACAGGGAGAGACACCUGCCUCAGCCUCCUUAUGGCUGCGGCUCCUUGGUAGGCUGUGCGGUGUUCUCUUCAGUGGAUGGCAUCGACCUUGCUGAGGUGAGCAACCCGGGGCCCCACAUCAGCAUGGCUUCCCGCAGUGCCCCUUGCACAGCCGCUGCCCCACACCUGUCCACUUUGGCAAGGGGCAGGAGGAGAUGCUGAGCACGCUCGUACUCCCUCACGGUAGGGAUGGCUGCGGAUGCUUCUUACCCCGACAGUGUGUCCUGGGUCUCUUGCUGGGCUCUGUCCCGUGAAUAAUCACAACGGCCCAUUGCCGAGGGGUGUGGCAGCAGAUCCCAGUCAGGUGUGUAUCUGUUCUCAGUAGAGGCAGCUGGCUGAGUGUACUUGUCAGCUUCCUGCAGCCCCACGCCAUGCGCCUCUAGGGCUCUCGCUCCUCUCCCUCCUCUCCCCUCUCUCCCUUUCCCUCUGCUUUCUUCUCUUCCUCCCCUUCCCUCUCUUUGAUUCCCACUUAGACCUCAGGUUCAGAGAUUUGACUUAAUGCGGCCUGAUAGAAAAGUUAUGGUGAAUGUUGAAAUAAAAAAAUUUUUAUUGUAGUAAAAGACACACUGCCAUGGAUCCCCUCAAAAUCCUCCUCCCAGCUUCCAACACACCUAUGCCACCGUCUUUGCCACUUCCUGAAGCAGCUCUGGAGCCCUCUUUCCCGAGGGUUGUUAGUUUCCUUGUUGUGGGUUCCUGCAUGUCCCGGGAUUCAAAAUGUUUAUCUUUUGUUAUGAUUUAGGUCUGGAACGCAACCCCCUAGCCUUGGGUUCAGAGGUGGGGCUUCAGGAAGUGAUGAGCUCAUGGGGGAGCUGCACUUAGCAGCACAUCAGUCAGUGUGGUUAGGAGCUGUGGCCUGGCUGGAAGAGGCAAGUAACUGGGGCUAUGACCUGGGAGCAUUCAGCUCCCUCCCGGGCUCCUCCCUUCUCUCUCUGCUUCCUGGCUGCCAUGAUGUGAGCAGUUUGCCUCCCCCGGGGCCUCCUCACUGUGCUGUUUCUGCCUUGCAGUCAGCUGUGGACUGAAGCUGUGAGCCCAGAUAACCCUGUCCUCCUUUAAGUUGUGGGUGUGGGGUAUUCUGUCCCAGAGACAAGGAGAGUAAUGAGCACACUUUUCAUGGUCAUUCUGAUUUUGGGGAAGAGCCAGAAGUCCCACAGUGCCUGCUCCUGUGAAUAAGGUGAAAGAUGACAGUGUCUUAGUUACUUUUUUCUUUGCUGAAACAAAAUACCCAACACUCACAAGUUAAAGGAAGAAAGGUUUAUUCUAGCUCACAGUCUGUAGAGGUUUUAAUCCAUAGUUGGCUGGUUCUAAGGCAGAGUGGCGUGGCAGAGGGGCAUCAUAGAGGAGAAACUGUUUAUUGUGUGGCAGGCAGAAGGCAGCAAGCAGCAGCAGCAGGCUGUCUCUCCUUUUUGUUCCUUCCAAGCUACCCACCUUUUGGGUGGUGUCACCCGUACCCAGGUGGGGCUUCCCAUUAUCCACACCCAGAACUAUGCUGAACGAAUCAAUGUGUUUAAUAAUCAUGUACCUUAAUCCCAGUGUCACAUACCACAGAUCCAGCCACCUCUGAAAAGCCCCACCUAUGAUUGCGUGAGGCUUUGAGGGGCAUCUAGACAGAAGCCAUACCAAGGAUGCACCACCACAUUUUUAUGAAGCCAGCCUUUCAGUUAGAUGACAAUUUGUAAAGACCCUUAUGAAAGAAGACUUCCAGAACUGCUUCAGAAAGUGAUGAGGCUGCCAGGAAUAUGCUCCAGCGUGUCUCCAAGGACCGUGCAAGCAUUUCUACACUUGGACUCAGAACUGCUGGGUCCUGCUGGGUAUGUGGCACACAUCUGUAAUCCUAGCACGCUGGGAGGCUGAGGCAGGAGGAUCAAAAAUCUGAGCCCUGCCUGGGCAAUUUAACAAGACCCUGUCUCAAAAAUAAAAAUAAUAAAAAGGGCUAGAAAUGUAGCUCAGUGUGAAGGCCCUGGGUUCAAUCUCCAGUAACACACACACACAAACACACACACACACAAACACACACACACAACUUGCUGGGUUCUAGGGGUAGAGGUGCUGGGGCUUCAUUUGGCUGAAUCUGCUCCAGAAUCAGAAUGGUCCCUGCUUGGCCUCCCCUGGCAGGUGGGGUUCCAGAGCCCCAUACCCCUGCCAGCCCUUAGCUCCAGUCAGCUUUUGAGUGUGUGCCAGGCUAGUAGGCAUAAAGUGCUUUUCUGUGGGAUUAAUUGCACAAUCCGUGUGCCGAUGGUUUGGAGCUCUGCUCUCAUGGCCCCACCUUCCAUGGCCUGCUGCUCUGCAAAUCACCUCUCCACAUCUUACCAUCGGGGUUGCUGGAACUUUCUUGUUGGG
ensembl:lncRNA